AAAACGGCUACUCGGUUCCUCCCAUCUCGAUCCCAUCCGAAGCUUCUCUCUUUCUCCUCCUCCUCCAACUCCCCGAUCCUCUGCAGGAUCUCUGCCGCCGCUGCGCCACCCAGGGGCGAUGGCAAUGGCCUCUUCCCAUCUCGCUGAACGUAGUCUCACUCCCGGUGGAGACGCCUCGGCGGCCAACGUGCUUGCACCCCAGCUCGCUGAGUCUGCUUCUUGUUUCACUUUCGUGAGAUGUAAUGUUGGGGCUUAGCUAUGAAAAAUGUGGUCGUUCGGAUUGGAUCGGGCAUUGCCUUGUUAUGCUCCUUGUUUAAGAACGAUGAAUCUGAAGUACUGAAACUCUAGAAAGCAGAACGAUGCCUUUUGAACUUGCUAGAUGGAGUUCGGCCUUUUCGAGUUAGCUCACUUCUUUUGUUUUUUGGGGAAUUAUUAAAUUUUUAUGGAGUUGGGAUACUAGGUACUGCGCUUUUAUCAAAUUCCAAUUGGUAAUAAUGAUUUCAACAUCCCAAAAUUUCAGUUUGGGUUUUUUUUUAUUUUAGUUCAAGGUGGGUGGCCCUAAGUUAUUGUGGUUAAAAUGCUUCAAUGAUAAAAUACCAGCUACCAAAAAUUUUGGCUUCUUGUAGUUAGAGGUGACAAUUCGGAUUGUGUUAAUUGUGUCAUAAAUUAGUCAUCUUACUCAGGCCAAUAAAAAAAGUAAAUGAGAUAACUUAAAAUUAUUAUAGUUUUUGUUAAGAAUGAUUUUAAAAGGUGUAAGACCGACUAACUUCUCUAAAGAAUUAAGUUAUAUGACAUAAAUUAUGUUAUUUCUAAAAGUGAAUUAUUCUCAUAAAUAAGUUAGUAAUAUGUCUGGGAUGUCUCAUGUUACUUUUGGGUUUUAUCUCUCUUAACUGUUUUUCAUGUCAACUUGAGGUGUGUUAACUGGCUGUGUCUAAUAUCUUUGGCUAUAACUAUAGUUACAAACAUGAGAAAUUAAAUUUCAACUAUCAUUUUUACAUCUAAAUUCAUGCCUAAGAAUUGGAGUAGCAUAAAGUUUAAUGGAAAAUAGCUAAUUUAAAUUUGCAUCUACUGCAAUAUAUCAAAUUAAUUAACCCAAGCAACCAAAUAAGGAAUAUUUGAUAUGUAUAAUAUAACAUAUCGAAUUAAUCAAGAUUUUCCCUGGUUCCUUGAUAAAAAUAUUGUUUUUGUUGUAUUUAAUCUUAAAUAAUCAACUUAAGUCAUCCUUAUACUCUAAAGUACAAUAUGACAAUGCAUUUUAAUCAAGCUAAGUAGGUUAAAGGCUUUUGUUAUUUUGAUUGAAUUAUGUUUGAUUAGAGCAUUCAAAGUUGGACAUAAUCUUUUUUCUGCCGUGACUCCUUUGCAGCAUCCACAUGCAUUGACACCUUUUAGAAUAUUUGUCUCUGUUAAAGGUUUAAUUUUGUUUUUUGUUUUUUGAGAGUUGAUUCUAAAGAAAUUGUUUAGGGAUGCAUUUAGGUAAUAUGAGGAAGGAGAUACUAUGCUAGAAGUCAUUUCUAUUACUGUCUGUUGGAACGCUGCCUUUCCCGUUGUGUAUGAAAAAUAAACAUUUAGUUCAUAAUAAGAUGUUUAAAACUUCUUGGUUGUGAAAGACAGACCAAGAAUAAAUGUUAUCCUAACAUGAAAAAACCGGUUCCCUCUUUGAUUAAAUGGUACAUGUAGGAAGUUUAUAAUAUACAUCAAAUUGUGUGUAUGUCUGCACGCGAGUGCCUGCAUGCACAUGAUUGCAGAUAGUUCAGACUGAAGGAAUAAGAAAAUAAGGGCCCUUUAUAUUCCUAAAAAACUAUAUUCUGCACAGGUACAAUACCAAAGCUAGAUUUAUUUGUAGUGUAGAGGAGUUGCUGAAUGAAAACUACAACUGUUUGCAAGGAACCGAUUUUGUUGCUAUCAUUAAUGGUUCCUCCAAUCAUCAUCCAUUCGUUCAAGCCUGAAUCGCUCUUGAACAUAGGCGAUAAAGUUUGCAGCUCGCCUGUCUACCUCACUGAUGGUGUUCACGUUGUUGGCAGCAACCUCAUAGGUGCCCAAGUUACUGAUCCCUUCCUUUUUGAUCAAGGAAGGUUUUGGCUUGGGCGAAGGCACAACAGCUUCAUCUUCCACAUGUAUGCUUACUACUGUGGUAGCCGGAGGAGUUGGAGUCGGCACAAUCUUGUUUGUGUAUUGCACUGAGGGCUUUGGUGCUCGAUAGAAGGCCACAGCCAUCUUACCUUUGGAUCCUCUACGCUUGCGAGAAGUUGAUGCAACUUAUCUCACUUUUAUGCACUAAAGUAGCUUUGGAUUCUUUUGGGGGCACUCUCUCUUCAGAAAGGCAAUCUUGUGCUUUAUCAGAUUCAUUUAUCCUGCUUCAUUAACUUUGAAUAUUCCUACCAAGACGUGCACUUUCAGUUUUUGAUCCAGUGGUUCUGUAGCAUCCAAGUCAGGGAGGGGUAUCGUAUUAGUGCAACUUUUCAAAUCUUCUUUCUUGAAUGAUAUCUUUCCUUAUGCAAGCUGAUAUUUUGUUCUUCGGUUUACAACGGAGAGGACUAUGUUGCCUGUCAUAAUUCUUAUCUUUUGCUUUUGAAGGGAUGUUACCUACCUUUUGAUGGGUGAAGGGUGAAGCUUUUAAUGAUGAUGAAGUCCUUCCACUUGCCUCCCCAAAUUCUUAGACGACAACAGGCUUGCAAUAUGUUGAUACUUUCUACUUGUUUCUGGGUUCUACCAUAUAUUUCCAGAGCAAAUUCUUCAAAAGGCAACCAGUCUCCACAUGUAAAGCUCUAAUGUUUAGACUUCGCAAUUUUGCUUCAGUGGAGGAAACCCCUAACAUAAGAGUCUUGGUGGCAUGGGUUCGGUGUCCAUUUUUCGGUGCUAGAGUCGGGAAUGUUUGGCAAUAAGCACCUCUAACCACUUCAAAAUGGUGAGGCUAAAGAGAAAUCAGCCUGUAAUCUCUUACUUACCAUUAUAAUUCUUGCUCUCUUUCAAAGUUUGCAGCAAGUGGCAGCAAAAAUCACACACACACACAUCAACUUAGGGUUUAGGGCACUAAAUACUAAUUUAGAUAGAUUUCAUUGAUUUUUUUUUUAAGUUUUAUGCAGCCAUUUUUUCACAGAAGCUUCAUUCUUAUCUUGACCAGGAAGUGUCUUGAUGUUCUACUGAAUGUAUAUAUAUAUAUAUAUAUAUAUUGCUC